GGGUCAGUAGGUUGGUCGUGUCACCGGUACGUACUGGUCUCACUGAUUCCUCCUUCCUGAAGAACCGUAAUGCCAUUAAUUUGGUGUUGCGGGGAAACAGGACUGUUACUUUGAAAAAAUUAGAGUGUUUAAAGCAAGCUAACGCUUGAAUACAUAGCAUGGAAUAAUGAAAUAGGACGAUCGAUCCUAUUUUGUUGGUUUCUAGGAUUGACGUA
rnacentral:rRNA from 1 species